UCUUGGGAUCCCUCUCUGCUUUGCUUUUUUUUUUUUUUUUUUUUUUUUUUAAAUAGCUGCUGCGACCAGAGACCUCAGGGCCUCUCACCUCAGUUCCUUCUGGCCCGCCAGCUUGACUGUUUCUGUAGGUUUUGGCUAAAAGUGAUAUUUAGAAGCCUGCUUCAUGAUGGUGGCCUCUGAGGAGACAGGAGCAAACCUCAGCCCCUCCCCUAUGUGACCCCCUCCAGCUCCAGUAUAUGAGCCUCCAGCUGCUUAGCUCAGUCUAGGUUUUGCUUUCUAUGUGAACCACAGCUGAAUGUAACAGCUCAACUACCAGAUGUUCAAUACAUGUACACACACACACACACACACACGUGGUAUAAGCCACAGCUUGCUCUGACUAGUAUAAGGGAUGCCUUCCUUCUAGAUAAUUGUAAAACAUUCAACUUAAGGGACUCAUAGUUUUUAAUCUACAUUUUUUUAACAUUGUGAUAAAACCAGGCAUGAUGAUACACAUCUGUAAUCCUAAUACUUAUAAGACAAAGGCAAGAGGAUGGCUUCAAGUUCAAGGCCAUCCUGAGCUACAUAGUAAGAUGUCUCAAAAAAAAGGGGGGUGUCAGGGAUUCACGAUUCACAUAAGCCAAAGGAUUCAGCAGCAUGCAGGGUCUCAGCAUGGUCACUUAGCCAUCUAGCUUCACCACAUUCUUGAAGGAAGCUUCAUAUCCCCUUCUUUCUUACUCACCCCUGGAAACCACAAAUCCGUCUUUCCUAAUGGAAGUGCCUUUAAAAAAAAGUAUCCUACAAUGUAUCAGGCUCAUCUCAGCCUGAGGUCUUAGGGUUCAUCCAUACUAUAGCAUGUUAUCCUACAAUGUAUCAGGCUCAUCUCAGCUGGAGGUCUUAGGGUUCAUCCAUACUAUAGCAUGUUAUUCUACAAUGUAUCAGGCUCAUCUCAGCUGGAGGUCUUAGGGUUCAUCCAUACUAUAGCAUGUUAUCCUACAAUGUAUCAGGCUCAUCUCAGCUGGAGGUCUUAGGGUUCAUCCAUCUAUAGCAUGUUAUCCUACAAUGUAUCAGGCUCAUCUCAGCCUGAGGUUCAUCCAUACUAUAUAGCAUGUUCGGCUUUAUCACUUCUUAUGGGUGAGCGACACUCCAGUGUGUUUCAGCUCAAACUUGCUUCAGCACCACCAGUACUGGGAUCACAGGUAUGCACCACCAUACCCAGCUUCCCACUGUACUUUGUAUUAAACUCGGGCAGAAACAGGCAAGCACGAUAACCUCUUCUUGGCUCAACCCUGCCCUGUGUGACCUGCUUGAAAGCUGGUUCCAGAUGGCAUCCCAGAAAGGCAGGCCAGGGGCAAGAACCUCCAGCCACUGAGGACCCAAAUUUCCUGCAGACCCCUUCUGCUGUCCUCGCCCACCGUGGGCAAAUCCAAGAGGGACGCUAGAGCUGAGUCCCAGCCCCAGCUGGGCGCUGGAUGCUGGAACAAGAGGUCCACUUUAUGCUCUUCACAAUGCCCCAUUGUGCCCUUCUGCAGGGAGGACAAUGUUACCACUGCAAGGGGAAGCUGAGGACAAAGGGCUCUUUGUGAGGAUGGUCCCCACCUGAGCCACAGCACCCAGGGUCACACCUGAUGGCAGAGCGGUCCUUCCUCUCCUUCUAUUCCCUGCAUAGCUCUGGCUUCCAGAAAUAAUUUGAGGAAGUUGUGCCGACUAAAGCUGCCCCCCCCAAAGGUCUCUGCUGGCCCAUCCCAUGCCUGGCAUAUGCCAGUGAGGAGAGGCAGGGCUAAGGGUUCCUACUGAAAGAUCUGGAUGCAGGAUACACAGUUCCUUCAGUCUCUAAAUUCUUGAGACCUUGGGCAGAUGCUGGCCUGUAGGAAGCCUGGCAGGUGGGAAGUAUUUGUAUUACCUAUCACAACAUCUGUAAUGGGGCAUACUCUCAGCUGGGCUCCCAAGGGAGUGCUUCUGAAGAAAAAGAAAAGGAAACUUAAAAAAAAAAUACCCAAAGCACGUUGUAGGCUGUAUUUCUAUGCUAGCACUCUAGUAUCAGGAAGCCUGGAGGCCGGGAAGAGUCCCAGCAACAGCACACCAGUCCUUACCCACAAAAGGCUCACUGCUGGUGUAGAGGUAUAAAUAUUAAUGGGUUGUUUAACCAUGCAAGCAUUGGUCAUUUAUAUGUCAAAGCAGCAAUCACAAAAAGGAGAUGCUAAGGAUAAGUUGC
rnacentral:lncRNA from 1 species